GACGAACGCUGGCGGCGUGCUUAACACAUGCAAGUCGAACGGAAAGGCCCUGCUUUUGUUGGGUGCUCGAUUGGCGAACGGGUGAGUAACACGUGAGUAACCUGCCCCUGACUCUGGGAUAACCUCUGGAAACUGGGGCUAAUACCGGAUAGGAGCUCCUGCUGCAUGGUGGGGGUUGGUAACUUUCGGCGGUUGGGGAUGGACUCGCGGCUUAUCAGCUUGUUGGUGGGGUAGUGGCUUACCAAGGCUUUGACGGGUAGCCGGCAUGAGAGGGUGACCGGCCACCAUGGGACUGAGAUACGGCCCAGACUCCUACGGGAGGCAGCAGUGGGGAAUAUUGCACAAUGGGCGGAAGCCUGAUGCAGCGACGCCGCGUGCGGGAUGACGGCCUUCGGGUUGUAAACCGCUUUCGCCUGUGACGAAGCGUGAGUGACGGUAAUGGGUAAAGAAGCACCGGCUAACUACGUG
rnacentral:rRNA from 1 species